UCACCUUCAGGAACACAAAUCCAAACACGUAAUUUAGUGUUUCAUAAAAACACUAAAUGGUGACGAUCAAUGUCAAAUUGAUUCUCUGUUGUCUGUUACUGAAGUUGGAGCUGAGUUCUUACUGAAGAUGGUUGUUUGAUUAUCCAGUAACAUUAUUCACAUUUUAAUGGAUUUUUCUUUGAGUUUUAAAGACAGAGUAACAUUUUUCCCUCUUCAAACAUUUGUUGCUGUGGUUGGAAAUUAUUUCAUCAGAAAAUGAUCAUAUGUUUUAGAUAAUUCAAACUUAAAUUAAAUGAAUAAUAAGAUAAUUUAUGAGUGCAAAUAUCCAGUUUUUUAUUUCAUACAACAAGGUUGGUUUGAAUGUUUGCACCAUUGUUCAAAUUAAUAAUUUGGGUCCUAAAUAGAGAGUGUAUCCACUUCUUCAGGCGCCACUACACCACUGACUGUGUGUCAGUCUUCAGGUUGUGGGUUUGAUCCUCAGCUGAUGCUGAAUCGUCUGACAAUCUUAUAAUGUGUCCGUUUCUUACAGUUUGAAGGCUGAAGUCUCUGCACGACUGCACUCGUAGCUGCAGAGCCUACAAGGAUUCACCGGCUGAGUUGACUGUUUGUUUGGUGGAAGGGACACUGCAGCUGCUGUGUCGGCCACUGGAGGGCGCUCUGCCGUUGUUGACUUCAGGAGGACUGCUGGAACUAUGGAAGAGUCUUCAGGUUGGUCCACUUUCCAGUUGUUGGUGAACACAGUAUGUUUUUCUUUCAUAUCACUACUAGUGUAUAUUCUGUAAACACAUAAAUAACACAAGAGGUCCAAAAUGUAAUUCACCUGCAUGUAUAAAACUCUUUAAUUCAUGAAUAAAAAAUAUUGAAUGUACAUUAAUAUUAAUAAAUAACUCCACUCUGUUCCUCAGUGAACUUUCUGGUCAAGAGUUCUGAGUUAACAUUUAUCAGUAAUCAACAAUAAAUAAUGAACUGCUUUCAUAUGAAUUCAUGUUAAGUGUUGCAGUUCUUCACUCUGACCACUGGAGGGCGCUCUUCAUUGAACUGAACUCUAUUAUAUUAUUAGAUUUUAAUUCUUACAUUGAUCUUUUACAGAGAAACAUAAACAAUUACAUACAACAUGUUCGACAUUAAUUUCUGUGAAAGGUGAGGAAGUCUGCUAAAUGUUCAAAAUAUAUCAGCUGGAAGAUUGUAAUUGAAUUUUUACAUUUGGUGCAACAUAGCAGAAGAUUAAUAAGGAUAUAAAUAAAUAUAUAAUUAAAUAUUCAUCUCUUUCACCUACUUUAGUUACUCCGGUUAGUUCAGAAUGAAAAAAAGUGCUUUACACUAAAUCAGAAAAGCUGUAAACAUAUUCCUGAAUGACGACUACCCAGACAUAUCAAUCAUUUAAUAGCUAUAAUAUAAAAUAAUGUAUAUAUAUUUUCUAACGUGUGUCUGUAUUUCAUUAUCCUCCACUGAUGUCCUGUUGGAGGAAGAGGAUCCUCCUGGAGCCCCAGUCUGGAUCAGGAGGACCCACCAGAGUUCAGCACUGAUCCAUUGAAACCUGUGCUCCCUGUAGUUCUGCUCUUUAUGGAGGACUGCUGCUGACACGCUCUGUGGGAACUAUAGAAGAGUCUUCAGAAAUGAAGGAAAUUGUGGGUCCAGAAUAAACUCCUCUAACCCAAAUCCCAUCGCUCCAGAGCCCCGGACCCUCAAACACACACGGCUGUAACCAUCUUCCACUGUGAUGCUGUGGUUCUGCCAGAUGCCGGUGCGGACCAGUUGGGGUUUUCCACAAAGAAGACUUCCUUGUGGGAAAACCCCAACUGGUUGGAGGCAGGGGGGGAGAGAGAGGUGCCCUGUUGCCAGUGUUAUGCAUGUUAAUGUUGAAUAAAAUGAUUUUAAAAUCCAUAACCCCCUGCUUUUACCUCUCUGGAAACCCGGGAGGGGACACGGCCCCCUCCUCUCCCUCUGCAGCGGGGUGAGGCUCCAGGAACCGGGCACCGAGCGAGCCUCGAACCAGACACUUCUGCAUUCUGGCCGCUCCCACGCACACUGCGCCACCAUGCUCCUUUCACACUAGAACAUCUUCUCCGGGCGCUUUUAUCUUUUUACUUUGGCCGCUGGAGCACAAAACACACUGAGCCUCAUAAGAGAAUCGAACACACAACCUCUGGUCUCCUGACCACUCUUCUAACCCUCAGCACUGUUUGAUCUGAGACACUUUAUCUAUAUUUCUAACAGCUUUUCACUUGUUUCUUUGAACAUUGGACUCUAAAAUUCACAGUUGAGCGAGGCUCCAACCCACAUCCUCAAAUCUUGUGUUCAGACAAUCAUUUGUUUAUUCACUGAGCUACACAUGAGGACGGUAGAGUACACGUUAGUUGUUGCUUUUCUUUACAUCUUUGAGGAGAAAACACAGAAAACUGUCAUUAGAGGACAACCUGGGUUCAAUCCCUCCAUCCUACAGCCUAAGAGCUCAGCACCUUAUCUCACUGAGCUACACCUGAGGAGUGGAAGUUGCUGCUUGGUAGUUGUAUUUAUUGUUCACAUUAAUGAGAAGAAACCUUUAAAAGUCUCAGGAUGCAUAAGCUGGAUUUGAACCUUCCACCUCUGGUCUCAACCACAUCAGUUACUUAUCUUCCUGAGCUAUUCCUCCUGAUGGCUUUUGGUUUUUUUGUCUUUCUUUUACUUUUACUGCAUUUUAUUUAUAUUUUAAACUGGAUAGAAGUCAGAUCUACAACCUGGAGGGUUAUAUGAGCUACAACAGAGCUCCUUGUGUCCCAGGUACAACAGUCCUGCUUCCCUGCACAUUUAUUAGUACUUUGGAAAAUAUACCUCCCUGCAGAGAUAGCUCAGUGAGAUAAGCAGCUGAUGUUGAUAUCUGAGGUGGAAGGUUCAAAUCCAAGCACACCUCUUUCAGUUUUCUCUUCAGCAACAUGAACAAUAAAUACAACAACAAACCAACAACUUCCAACCCUCAGGUGUAGCUCAGUGAGAUAAGGUUCUGCUAUCUGAUCCUUUAAACGUGGAGGGAUCUAAUCCAGUUUGUCCUCUAUUGACAGUUUCUGAGUAAUUGUAAAACCAUUGGGGGGGCGUGUCCCCUUCCUAAGACCGAAGAGACAUCGUACAUUGCUACUAUAUUAAGAUGAUUCCUCUGACAAUAACUUUCAUCUUGUUUUCAGUCAGUUGGCUGUUUGUCACUCCUCAUUAACCUGAUUGAGUCCACCUGAUCACUCCUUAUUUAAAGGCCGCUCUCUUUCGUUCACUCGUUCACCUGCAGUUCUGAGUAACUUCCCCAGGUGUCGGACCGCGUCCUCCUUCAACCCUCAAACACAAUAAAUCAUCAGAACUUGGAGUUGUGUUCAUUUAAUCCUUGGUGCACACAUUCAAAGCAACCUCAGGAGAGAACAGAGAAUUAUGGAUUUGGAUUUUAGACAAAAUACACACUCCACUUUGUUUAUAGUCAAACUGUACAGACAUUAGAUAGUGAGUUGAGUUUCUGGAUAAUUCUCUUAUUCUCAUAAAUAUUUAUUAUUCAUCUAACCAUCUAACAUCCACAUUGAGUCUGACUGAUCAGUCCUUAUUUAAAGUGUGCUCUCUCUUCUGGUACUAAUUUUAAUUUUAUUCUAAUUUAAUCUUAUUAAUAAACUUUAAGCUAAUGCUUUAACUGAGAACUUUAUUUAUCCUUGUUUAACAUGAACAAGAUGAAUGUGUGUCCUCCUGCUAACUCCUAAAGUUAAACACUUUUGAUGACAUUGGGAACAUUGUUUGGGAAAAUAAACUUUUUUUUAACGC